rnacentral:rRNA from 1 species
AGCAGCCGCGGUAAUUCCAGCUCCAAUAGCGUAUAUUAAAGUUGCUGCAGCUAAAAAGCUCGUAGUUGAAUUUCGGGACCAAUAUGUCGGUCGUGCCUCGGUACGUACUGGCAUCGUUGGUUUCUCCCUUCUGACGAACCAUGAUGUCAUUUAUUUGGUGUCGUGGGAAAUCAGGACUGUUACUUUGAAAAAUUGAGUGUUUAAAGCUAAGGCUCACGCUUGAAUACAUUAGCAUGGAAUAAUGAAAUAGGACGUUUGAUUCUAUUUUGUUGGUUUCUAGGAUUGACGUAAUGAUUAAUAGGGAUAGUUGGGGGCA